rnacentral:lncRNA from 1 species
AUCAUCUAACUCCAUUGUUGUAUCUAGUUAUUGAUGUAGUUUUGUUCUUACUUGUUGUUAAGUGCAUUGAUAAUCUUGGAGGUUGUUAGAUACCUUAGAAUGAUAUUUUAGAAUACUAGUAUUGUGUUUCUUUGCUAAUUUAUAUCAUUUGUGAUCUAUCAUUGUGAUUUUAUGUGAUAAACUUCCCUUGAGAUCCUUUUAUAGUAAUAAGAAGUGUUUUGUAAGCUUAGAAAUAUUUCAGGAGAGAAGAGGGUUGAUUGAAGACAGAUAAAGCUCAUAGAAGAGGAUAAGAUAGAAUAUAAGACUUGUGAGAAGUCUUAUAAGUGAAAUUGAGAGUGAUU